CCCUGGGUGGUACAAAUGGUUAUUGCAUUCAGCUGCUAACUGAAAUGUUGAAGGUUCGAGUCCAUCCUUAGAAG
rnacentral:tRNA from 1 species